AUGGAACGCUGGCGGCAUGCUUAACACAUGCAAGUCGAACGGGAAACGAUGGAGCUUGGCUCCAGGCGUCGAGUGGCGGACGGGUGAGUAACGCAUGGGGAAUCUUCCUUUUGCUGGGGGAUAACGUAGGGAAACUUACGCUAAUACCGCAUAAGACCUAAGGGUGAAAGCGGGGGACCGAAAGGCCUCGCGGCAAGAGAUGAGCCCAUGUUGGGAUUAGCUAGUUGGUGGGGUAAAGGCCUACCAAGGCGACGAUCCAUAGCUGGUCUUGAGAGGAUGAUCAGCCACACUGGGACUGAGACCACGGGCCCCAGACUCCUACGGGGAGGCAGCAGUGGGGGAAUAUUGUGAACAAAUGGGGGCAAACCCCUGAUCCCAGCAAUGCCGCGUGGUGUGAAAGAAAG
rnacentral:rRNA from 1 species